rnacentral:lncRNA from 1 species
UUCGCUUUAUUUGCUAGGGACUAGCAAUAAGCUGGUUGGGGGGUGUGUUGAGUGUUAGAAAAUGCAUAUUUAUAAAGGAGAAAACCAUCAUUUUACAUUUCAAGUCUUACUAACAACCCUUACUUUUAUGUAUUUAACCUUCUUGUGAUUUAAUUACAUGUGUUUUAUUUUAAUUAAGUAUUUUAUGUAUUUUAGGGGCAUCAUAGUCAUUUCACAAUAAACGAGAAAUCAGAUGGCAAAACGGACAUCACUUUUGAACUCAGGACGGUCGAAAACCUUAGGAGGAGCAUAAAAGGAAAAAUG